rnacentral:rRNA from 1 species
GACGGAGGGUGCAAGCGUUGUUCGGAAUUACUGGGCGUAAAGGGCGCGUAGGCGGUCUGUUAAGUUCGGUGUGAAAGCCCCCGGCUCACCUGGGGAACUGCGCCGGAAACCGACAGACUCGAGUACCGGAGAGGAGGGUGGAAUUCCUGGUGUAGCGGUGAAAUGCGUAGAUAUCAGGAGGAACACCGGUGGCGAAGGCGGCCCUCUGGACGGAUACUGACGCUGGAGGCGCGGAAAGCGUUGGGGGAU